rnacentral:rRNA from 1 species
UACAGAGGGUGCAAGCGUUGUUCGGAAUUACUGGGCGUAAAGGGCGCGUAGGCGGCCAAGCAAGUCAGAUGUGAAAUCCCGGGGCUUAACUCCGGACGUGCAUUUGAAACUACUUGGCUAGAGUACAGUAGAGGUUGGUGGAAUUCCCAGUGUAGAGGUGAAAUUCGUAGAUAUUGGGAGGAACACCGGUGGCGAAGGCGGGUCUCUGGGCAACAACUGACGCUGAGGAGCGAAAGCGUGGGGAGCGAACAGG